rnacentral:lncRNA from 1 species
AUGAUGACAUAGAAUGAAGGCUAUCACCAGGGGCUCACACUUCAGUUAUGAACUUUCCAUACACAGAAUCAUGGUUAAUAAAUUUGUGUUCAUUAUAAAUUUCCCAGUUUGUAUAGUUUGUUAUAGGAUCACAAAAUGGACAGAUGCCCUUCAAGCCGAUGCAAGAUGCAAGGAUGCAAAGAGCAGAGCAAAGACUAACCUGUUUUGAAGACGUUCACCAAAUUGCACUAAAGAUGGAGGAAAGUCUGGCCUGCACCUGUCCCUCCUCCAGCAGGGUCACAUGAUCAUCUCACCAGAUGCAGAAAGCACAGUUAGCAGCAAAAUUCAACAGCUCUCCAUGAUAAAAAGCCCUGUGGAAACUGGGUGCAGAAGACUAAUACCCUAGCACAGCGAGGCUGUCUACAGCAGACCUGUGACUGACCUCACAAUGGAUGUUAGAAGCUGAAGUGCUGAGCUUCACCUGUGAUGACUUCAGAGAGAGAAACUCACCAAAGAACUUCUUGUGAGAUUCUUGUGGCUUCCUGCUGAUUCCUCAGACUUGGCCACCAGGAUUGAACUGCCCUUGCUGAUUCGUGUGUGGUGUCUGCUGAGUGGGCUGGACUGCAGUUGCUGAUUCAUGUUUGGUGUUUGCUAGUGGACUGGUCUAAAAAUAACAAAGAUUGGAAUCACAUCAAAGCACUACUUCUAAACAGGUCCACUUCCCCCAUAUCCUAAUAAUCUUUCUUUUCCACUUCCUCUGGUGGUAUAGAGGGGAAGUUGAACCCUUAUUGAAGUAGGUUGUAAAAUAUGUAUAUGCCUACACUUAUAACACAAACGAGCAAUUCACUCAAAUCAUACAAACUGUAGACUGUGAAAAGUAAAAUACACUAGAAUUAUACAUUUGUCACUAUUUUACACUUACAUGUAGGAUGGGUGCAGAAGUUCUCUCUAACAGGCACAGGUCAAUAGACUAGGCAAGGGGAUGGAGAAAUAAACCCAGGCAGCUACAGCCAUCUGCCUCUUCAUAUAAGUUCCAAAACCACUGGAGAACAGGCAGCCUCUUUUUCAAAUGGUUCUUGAAUAGCUGGGUGUUGACCUGUAAAAGAAUAAACCUAACCCGCUGGCUCUCAUCCUAUACAGAAAUAAAUUCAGAAAAUGGAGAAGGGCCGACCUUUAAAAUACAGGUUUGCAACUCUGAAGCUGCUAGGGGAGAAUGUAAGUGAAGCAUGUGGAGAUAUGGGCAUGAGUGGUGACUUCCUCAGUAUGACUUGGAUAGCCCAGGUGAUGAUGGCAAGAAUUGACAAGUGGGAUUAAAAGAACAAAAGAAGUUUCUGCCUCUACGGGAGACAUUCAAUAGACUCAAGAGACAACCUACAGGUAAGAAAAAAAUUUCCCAGCAACAAUCAAAGGAUUCAUAUCCAGAAUUUCUGAAGAACUCAGAGACUAAAUACCAAGGAAACAAGGAAUUCUGUGACCAGAUCAACAACUGUACUGAAACAUUCUCAAAAAAAAAAAA